rnacentral:rRNA from 1 species
GAGGUGGCAAGCGUUGUUCGGAAUUACUGGGCGUAAAGGGCGCGUAGGUGGCCUUCUUAGUCAGACGUGAAAUCCCCGGGCUUAACUCGGGAACUGCGUCUGAUACUGGAAGGCUCGAGUUCGGGAGAGGAACGUGGAAUUCCAGGUGUAGCGGUGAAAUGCGUAGAUAUCUGGAGGAACACCGGUGGCGAAGGCGGCAUUCUGGACCGAAACUGACACUGAUGCGCGAAAGCCAGGGGAGCAAACGGGAUUAGAUACCCCGGUAGUCCUGGCCCUAAACGAUGAGUGCUUGGUGUGGCGGGUAUCGAUCCCUGCCGUGCCGAAGCUAACGCAUUAAGCACUCCGCCUGGGGAGUACGGUCGCAAGGCUG